CAAUAGCGUAUAUUAAAGUUGUUGCAGUUAAAAAGCUCGUAGUUGGAUUUCUGGUGGGAGCGAUCGGUCUGGCGCUUAGCGCGAGUACUUGCAUCGUCUCCGGCCAUCCUUGGGGAGAGUCUGUCUGGCAUUAGGUUGUCGGGCAGAGGAUCCUCAUCGUUUACUGUGAAAAAAUUAGAGUGUUCAAAGCAGGCUUAUGCCGUUGAAUAUAUUAGCAUGGAAUAAUAAGAUAGGACUUUGGUACUAUUUUGUUGGUUUGCGCACCAAAGUAAUGAUUAAUAGGGACAGUUGGGGGUAUUCGUAUUCCGUUGUCAGAGGUGAAAUUCUUGGGUUUACGGAAGACGAACUACUGCGAAAGCAUUUACCAAGGAUGUUUUCAUUAA
rnacentral:rRNA from 1 species